ACUGAACCUUGUGAGCCCAUGUUCAUUUCUUAUGAGACUAAAUAUGCACUGAACCUUGUGUGCCUUGUAGUAUCUGUAGUAUCUCUCUUUUAAAGAUCAAUAGGAUUCCAAGAUCGACUAUAGUAGCACCAGGCCUCCACUGGCCUAAUCAGUCUCUGACUUAGCUUGUAUUUUACCUCACAUUUCAUUGCAUGUCUCUACACCCUAAGGUCCUAACCACUAGUUUUUUCCACUUGCAGGUAUGUUCCAAUGUUUGUGGAGAUAGAGUAUGAUCCGAACUGCUAGUACACAUCUGUUCUAAUUGAAGAGCAACUGGAGGCUCUUGGAAGAGCAAUAGUUGCUGGCAAGACAGGCAAUUGAAAAUGAGAAUUGAUCUUUUUUAUGGGCAAAGUGUUGAAGAUGGCUUUGGUGAAGGAAAUGUCUUGUUAGCAUCAAGUAAGUGGCAACAUCACAACCCCUACAAGCUUGUGCCUUAAAACAAGAGGAUACAAGAAGUUGGAGUGCUUUUGUGAUGGCUUUUGCGAAUCACUUGAAGCGUUAGUACUUUUGUGAAUGAUUUUGUAAAGUGUUUGCAAAUAUGUGCAAAACAUAAUAACAUGUGUAGGUUUUGUGAAUGAUUU